GCAGUGAUGACUAUUUUAUACACAAUGCAUAUCUGUGCUUAUUAAAGAGUUGGAGCUCGGUCAAUUAAUUGGGGGUCGGAAGCUUUGUUCGGCGCGAUGUUCGGACAAUCUAUUGUGCAAGUGACUUGGAGCCAUAGAAGGAAUUGCAAUACAUGCUUACAAAACACUUAUAUCAGGAACAAGACAAGAACUGAAAGGUAGACAGGAAGGGCUAGCCAUGAAAAUAGAAGAUGAUUUUCUAGGUGAAAAGUCAUGAUGAUGUUGAUCUGAUCUAUGUAUAAAAUGUACCGGUGACGCAUGAAGGGGCGUCAGUAAACAAACCCUGAUGCUAUAAAAUAUCUGUUCAUGCUUUGAUUAAGUCGAAGACUACUUCCUGUCUGCGUACAGAGUUGUCUUCCCACGCGUGUAUUCAUUAAAAUCAUCGUUUGACUUCACCCGGCCGGAUUGGUGUGAUUAUUCUUCGAUCACCUCUUGUACCCUUCCUCAAUAAUGAAUCUUAACAGUAGGAUCCGUAGAACCACGUUGGAGAAUUUUUAUUUAACUAAAAACUCCCCAACUUACAUAGAUGCUAUAGGGGUUCAUAAUGAGUGUAAACUGGCCAACCAGGUCAUGGGAGGGUUUGAGUCCAUCUUCUUAUGGAUUACCCCAAACAAGAAUGUAGACAAGAUAAAUGUGUGUGUGAAUGGGUGGAUGAUUGUGUAUAGUGUGAAGCGCUUUGGGGUCCUUAGGACCAAGUAAAGCGCUAUACAAAUACAGACCAUUUACCAUUUACAAUAAAUUAUGUUCAUUAUAAUGUUCAGCAACUGGCCAAUUUGAUACACGAUGCAGUCAUGGGCCUAUAACCCUAACCCCUUGGAGGACUGGUUUAAAGCCAUGGUAGUGUCUUUGCUAAUGUCCAUAGCCACAUUUGCUGCUAUACUUAGAAGCUGUGGCUGUUGUUUCAUUCUGUGCCGCCGCAUCCUACUGAAUAGAUUAAUCACAACCGCAUUGACAAGAGAAAAUGAACCGCCUAAAAUUUCACUUGUAACACAGCCCUCGUUACAGGCAGAAAAUAUGGAUAGUGAUGAUGAGAGUGAGGAUGAAAUUUAAAGUACGAAAUUGUUUUGUUUUAUUUCUUUUCCUUCUUUUUCUGACAUUGUAGAAUGAUGCACACUGUAUAAAAGAGUUCAGGGUGGUGUCCCUCAUCAGAAAUCAUUUUGGUGUUUGACCUGAAUGUUUUCUCCACUGCAGUGUA
ensembl:lncRNA